rnacentral:rRNA from 1 species
UCAGGAUGAACGCUGGCGGCGUGCCUAACACAUGCAAGUCGAACGAAGCACUUAGACAGAACCUUCGGGUGACGUAUGGUGACUGAGUGGCGGACGGGUGAGUAACGCGUGGGUAACCUGCCCUGUACAGGGGGAUAACAGUUAGAAAUGACUGCUAAUACCGCAUAAGCGCACGAUGGUAGCAUUACCAGGUGUGAAAAACUCCGGUGGUACAGGAUGGGCCCGCGUCUGAUUAGCUUGUUGGCGGGGUAAGAGCCCACCAAGGCGACGAUCAGUAGCCGGUCUGAGAGGAUGAACGGCCACAUUGGAACUGAGACACGGUCCAAACUCCUACGGGAGGCAGCAGUGGGGAAUAUUGCACAAUGGGGGGAACCCUGAUGCAGCAAACCGCCGCGUGAGUGAAGAAGUAUUUCGGUAUGUAAAGCUCUAUCAGCAGGGAAGAUAAUGACGGUACCUGACUAAGAAGCUCCGGCUAAAUACGUGCCAGCCGCUGC